rnacentral:rRNA from 1 species
CUGGUUGAUCCUGCCAGUAGUCAUAUGCUUGUCUUAAGGAUUAAGCCAUGCAUGUCUCAGUACAAUCGACUUUGUACCGUGAAACUGCGAAUGGCUCAUUACAACAGUUAUAGUUUAUUUGAUCGUGCGGAGCUACGUGGAUAACCGUAGGAAUUCUAGAGCUAAUACAUGCACCGUCGCCGAGGAUCUUUGGUUAGACCUUGGCGGGAUUUAUUAGAUCAAAAACCAAUCGCCUUCCGUUUUUUACGAAAGGCGUGGCGGGAUGAAUCACAAUAACUACACCGAAUCGCAUGGCUCUGAUUUGGCCGGCGAUAAAUCAUUCAAAUUUCUGCCCUAUCAACUUUCGAUGGUAGGGUAGUGGCCUACCAUGGUGUUGACGGGUGACGGAGAAUUAGGGUUCGAUUCCGGAGAGGGAGCCUGAGAAACGGCUACCACAUCCAAGGAAGGCAGCAGGCGCGCAAAUUACCCAAUCCUGACUCAGGGAGGUAGCGACAAGAAAUAACGAUAGCGGGCUCGUUCGAGUCCGUGCAUCGGAAUGAGGAUAAUUUACACCCCUUCUCGAGGAUCCAUUGGAGGGCAAGUCUGGUGCCAGCAGCCGCGGUAAUUCCAGCUCCAAUAGCGUAUACUAAAGUUGUUGCAGUUAAAAAGCUCGUAGUCGAAUGAAGGUUUUUUUGUUAUGCGGACUUUUAGGUGUUACCUAAGUUGUCUGCGUUCAAUAACCUCCCUGGUGUGAUACAAAUUUUUUUAACCGAAAAAAUUUGUAUCACAUGCAUUACUGUGAACAAAAUAGAGUGUUCAUGGCAGGCCAAAUUAGGCUUGAAUACCUCAGCAUGGAAUAAUAGAAUAGGACUUCCCGGUUCUAUUUUGUUGGUUUUUGGAGCCGAAGUAAUGAUUAAUAGGGAUAGUUGGGGGCACUCGUACUCCGUUG